UACGGAGGGGGCUAGCGUUGUUCGGAAUUACUGGGCGUAAAGCGCACGUAGGCGGCUUUGUAAGUUAGAGGUGAAAGCCCGGAGCUCAACUCCGGAACUGCCUUUAAGACUGCAUCGCUCGAACGUCGGAGAGGUAAGUGGAAUUCCGAGUGUAGAGGUGAAAUUCGUAGAUAUUCGGAAGAACAUCAGUGGCGAAGGCGACUUACUGGACGACUGUUGACGCUGAGGUGCGAAAGCGUGGGGAGCAAACAGG
rnacentral:rRNA from 1 species